rnacentral:misc_RNA from 1 species
GAAAUGCGAUAAGUAGUGUGAAUUGCAGAAUUCAGUGUAUCAUCGAAUCUUUGAACGCACAUUGCGCCCCUUGGUAUUCCAUGGGGCAUGCCUGUUCGAGCGUCAUUUGUACCCUCAAGCUCUGCUUGGUGUUGGGUGUUUGUCCCCGUCUCCGCGCGUGGACUCGCCCCAAAGUGAUUGGCAGCCGGCGUACUGGUCCCGGAGCGCAGCACAUGUCGCGCAAACGAGUGCCUUGGUACGGCGGCGUCCAUAAGCCCCUCUCUCACGCUCUUGACCUCGGAUCAGGUAGGGAUAACCGCUGAACUUAAGC